AGUGAACGCUGGCGGUAGGCCUAACACAUGCAAGUCGAACGGCAGCACAGGAGAGCUUGCUCUCGGGGUGGCGAGUGGCGGACGGGUCAGGAAUACAUCGGAAUCUACUCUGUCGUGGGGGAUAAAGUAGGGAAACUUACGCUAAUACCGCAUACGACCUACGGGCGAAAGCAGGGGACCUCCGGGCCUUGCUCGAUUGAAUGAGCCGAUGUCGGAUGAGCUAGGUGGCGGGGUAAAGGCCCACCAAGGCGACGAUCCGUAGCUGGUCUGAGAGGAUGAUCAGCCACACUGGAACUGAGACACGGUCCAGACGCCUACGGGAGGCAGCAGUGGGGAAUAUUGGACAAUGGGCGCAAGCCUGAUCCAGCCAUACCGCGUGGGUGAAGAAGGCCUUCGGGUUGUAAAGCCCUUUUGUUGGGAAAGAAAUCCAACUGGCUAAUACCCGGCUGGGAUGACGGUACCCAAAGAAUAAGCACCGGCUAACUUCGUGCCAGCCGCCGCGGUAA
rnacentral:rRNA from 1 species